UGGUCCUGGCCUUAUAAUCAAUUAUUACUCAACUUACACAUGCAAGUCUCCGCAUCCCUGUGAAAAUGCCCUCAAACCCCUUCAGGGGUCAGGAGCUGGUAUCAGGCUCGAUCCUCAGCCCACGACACCUAGCUAUGCCACACCCACAAGGGUAUACAGCAGUGAUUAACAUUGACCAUAAGCGCAAGCUUGACUCAGUCAGAGUAAGUAGAGCCGGCAAAUCUGGUGCCAGCCGCCGCGGCCACACCAGGGGCUCAAACUGAUUAUAUUCGGCGUAAAGCGUGAUUAAAGCCAACUUAAACUGCAGUUAAACUGGAGCUAAACUGUAAAACCCAUGAACCCAGGAAACACAAAAACGAAAGUCACUGCAAUAAAAUCCACUUGACCUCACGACAGUUAGGACACAAACUGGGAUUAGAUACCCCACUAUGCCUUACCGUAAACUUUAACUUACACCAAAAUCGCCAGGGAACUACGAGCAAUGCUUAAAACCCAAAGGACUUGACGGUGCCCCAUACCACCUAGAGGAGCCUGUCCUAUAAUCGAUGACCCCCGUUCAACCUCACCACUCUUUGCCCAUCAGUCUGUAUACCUCCGUCGUCAGCUUACCACGUGAGCGACUUCAGUAAGCAAAAAGGUCCCCCACCAAAACG
rnacentral:rRNA from 1 species